AGAGUUUGAUCCUGGCUCAGGACGAACGCUGGCGGCGCGCCUAACACAUGCAAGUCGAACGAGCGAGAGAGAGCUUGCUUUCUCGAGCGAGUGGCGAACGGGUGAGUAACGCGUGAGGAACCUGCCUCAAAGAGGGGGACAACAGUUGGAAACGACUGCUAAUACCGCAUAAGCCCACGGGUCGGCAUCGACCAGAGGGAAAAGGAGCAAUCCGCUUUGAGAUGGCCUCGCGUCCGAUUAGCUAGUUGGUGAGGUAAUGGCCCACCAAGGCAACGAUCGGUAGCCGGACUGAGAGGUUGAACGGCCACAUUGGGACUGAGACACGGCCCAGACUCCUACGGGAGGCAGCAGUGGGGAAUAUUGCACAAUGGGGGAAACCCUGAUGCAGCGACGCCGCGUGGAGGAAGAAGGUCUUCGGAUUGUAAACUCCUGUUGUUGAGGAAGAUAAUGACGGUACUCAACAAGGAAGUGACGGCUAACUACGUGCCAGCAGCCGCGGUAAAACGUAGGUCACAAGCGUUGUCCGGAAUUACUGGGUGUAAAGGGAGCGCAGGCGGGAAGACAAGUUGGAAGUGAAAUCUAUGGGCUCAACCCAUAAACUGCUUUCAAAACUGUUUUUCUUGAGUAGUGCAGAGGUAGGCGGAAUUCCCGGUGUAGCGGUGGAAUGCGUAGAUAUCGGGAGGAACACCAGUGGCGAAGGCGGCCUACUGGGCACCAACUGACGCUGAGGCUCGAAAGUGUGGGUAGCAAACAGGAUUAGAUACCCUGGUAGUCCACACCGUAAACGAUGAUUACUAGGUGUUGGAGGAUUGACCCCUUCAGUGCCGCAGUUAACACAAUAAGUAAUCCACCUGGGGAGUACGACCGCAAGGUUGAAACUCAAAGGAAUUGACGGGGGCCCGCAC
rnacentral:rRNA from 1 species